rnacentral:rRNA from 1 species
AUUGAACGCUGGCGGCAGGCCUAACACAUGCAAGUCGAGCGGAUGAAGGGAGCUUGCUCCUGAAUUCAGCGGCGGACGGGUGAGUAAUGCCUAGGAAUCUGCCUGGUAGUGGGGGAUAACGUCCGGAAACGGGCGCUAAUACCGCAUACGUCCUGAGGGAGAAAGUGGGGGAUCUUCGGACCUCACGCUAUCAGAUGAGCCUAGGUCGGAUUAGCUAGUUGGUGGGGUAAAGGCCUACCAAGGCGACGAUCCGUAACUGGUCUGAGAGGAUGAUCAGUCACACUGGAACUGAGACACGGUCCAGACUCCUACGGGAGGCAGCAGUGGGGAAUAUUGGACAAUGGGCGAAAGCCUGAUCCAGCCAUGCCGCGCGUGUGAAGAAGGUCUUCGGAUUGUAAAGCACUUUAAGUUGGGAGGAAGGGCAGUAAGUUAAUACCGUGCUGUUUUGACGUUACCAACAGAAUAAGCACGGGCUAACUUCGUG